GUGAGCCGAGAUUGUGCCACUGCACUCCAGCUUGGGCGACAGAGUGAGACUCUGUCUAAAAAACAAACAAACAAAAAAACAGCAGUUAGGGUACACAAAAAUUUUGGUGAUUUUCCCCUGAAUACUACCCUUGACUCUAUUUCGAAAUUCCUGCUUUCUCAGAGUUUACAACAUCCUUGCCAAACAGCCUUCUCCCUCCUUACCACAAAAAAAGAAAAAAAAGUUCUGGGGUUGGGAGGACACUCCAUUCUUAACAUCCUCUAUAUCCCAGCCCAGUUCCCCAGCUCUCGCUGGGACUAGUUGUACCUAUCUUCAUCAUUUGGUCCCAGCAUCAUCAUUUGGUCCCAGCAUGACUACCCAUUGGUGCAUGAGCUGAUCUGUUAACCUAACAGCCAGAUGCUAGUCUCUGGUACUCAGAUGCUGGGUUGCAUCAUAUAGGAUACACAGGAUCACCCUGGAAGCUUGUUGACAUAGAUUCCUGUGCAACACUCAGAUACAGUCUUAAUGUAGAUUUGUGUUGGGUGGUAUGGUAGGCAGAAUAAUGGCCUACCACUCUGAAACACGUGAAUAUGUUACCUAACAUGACAAAAGAGAAUUAAAUUGCUAAUCAGAUGACUGUAAAAUAGAUUAUCCUGGAUCAUCUGGAUGGGCCUAAUGUAAUCACAAAGGUCUGUUUCCUUGCCUCUUCCAGCUUGGCUCUGGCUCCCUUCCUCCAGCAAGGGUGGGUUGAGCCUUCACAUGGCACCACUUUGACCUCUUCUGCUUCCCUCUUCUACACUGAAAGACUUUUGGGCCAGGAGGGGUGGCUCGCACCUGUAAUCCCAGCACUUUGGUAGGCCGAGGAAUGCAGAUCACUUAGCCCCAGGAGUUCAAAACCGUCCUGAGCAACAUGGCGAAACCCCAUCUAGAAAGAAAAGAGAAGGGAGGGGGAAGGGGGACAUACAUAUAUACACACACACAUAUAUGUACGUACAUACAUACACACUAACUGGACGUGGUGGUGCGUGCCUGUAGUCUUAGCUUUCCAGGAGGCUGAGGUGGGAGGAUCGCGCCAGCCUGGAUAACAGUGAGACCAUGUCUCAAAAAAAAAAAGAUUUGUGAUUAGGAUUCUUGGUCCUCACCUGUAUUAGUUUCCUAUUGCUACUGUAACAAAUUAUCACAAAUUUAGUGGCUUAAAACGACGCAAGUCUGUAGGUCAGAAGUCUGACACGGGUCUUAACUGGCGACCCGAGUCAGACUUGGGACACAAAGAACAGAAACCAAGCUGUGUAGGUGUCUGACAGGCAGCCCGGUUAGGGAGCCCUACAGCAACCCGCCCUUCCUCCCUCUCAGGCAAAGUUGCUGCCAUGGCUCAUUAUUCCAACCGGUUCCCUUCAGCCCAGUCGAUCUCAGUGGCUCCACCAUAGGGUCGUGUGCCCGGCGGGACCCUAACCCUAACCAAGCAGGGAGACGGUCGUGCCCCUCACGACCUCGGCCCUCGGCCCUCGGCCCCGGCCGAGGUUUCUCCUGCAGGUCGCGAGAAUCAGGUGCGUCAGCGGCGUCCGGGAACACCGGAGGAGUCUCUGGGGCGGCUCUGCAGUCAUAAGGACCCCUUCGACCCCAGCACGGCCGAUCCACCGCCUCCUCCUAGACCCGGUCGCUGGCGCUGCGCAGUCGCAGAGCUCCGCCCGAACACCGGAAGCCUAGGCGCCAGCACUUCCGGGAAGUGACGGUGUCUCCGAAGCUGAUUGGUUGUUGCUUUGCCCCCCGCGUCCGUGGCUUUUUUCCUGCAGUGCGUGCGUGCUGUCGCUAGUGAGCGGCGCCAUGGAGGACUCAGAAGCACUGGGCUUUGAACACAUGGGCCUCGAUCCCCGGCUCCUGCAGGCUGUCACCGAUAUGGGCUGGUCGCGACCUACGCUGAUCCAGGAAAAGGCCAUCCCACUGGCCCUAGAAGGGAAGGACCUCCUGGCUCGGGCCCGCACGGGCUCCGGCAAGACGGCAGCUUAUGCUAUUCCGAUGCUGCAGCUGUUGCUCCACAGGAAGGCGACAGGUCCGGUGGUAGAACAGGCAGUGAGAGGCCUUGUUCUUGUUCCUACCAAGGAACUGGCACGGCAGGCACAGUCCAUGAUUCAGCAGCUGGCUACCUACUGUGCUCGGGAUGUCCGAGUGGCCAAUGUCUCAGCUGCCGAAGACUCAGCCUCUCAGAGAGCUAUGCUGAUGGAGAAGCCAGAUGUGGUAGUGGGGACCCCAUCUCGCAUAUUAAGCCACUUGCAGCAAGACAGCCUGAAACUUCGUGACUCCCUGGAGCUUUUGGUGGUGGACGAAGCUGAUCUUCUUUUUUCCUUUGGCUUUGAAGAAGAGCUCAAGAGUCUUCUCUGUCACUUGCCUCGGAUUUACCAGGCGUUUCUCAUGUCGGCAACUUUUAAUGAGGACGUACAAGCACUCAAGGAGCUAGUAUUACAUAACCCGGUUACCCUUAAGUUACAGGAGUCCCAGCUGCCUGGGCCAGACCAGUUACAGCAGUUUCAGGUGGUCUGUGAGACUGAGGAAGACAAAUUCCUGCUGCUGUAUGCCCUGCUCAAGCUGUCAUUGAUUCGGGGCAAGUCUCUGCUCUUUGUCAACACUCUAGAGCGGAGUUACCGGCUACGCCUGUUCCUGGAGCAGUUCAGCAUUCCCACCUGUGUGCUCAAUGGCGAACUUCCACUGCGCUCCAGGUGCCACAUCAUCUCACAGUUCAACCAAGGCUUUUACGACUGUGUCAUAGCAACUGAUGCCGAAGUCCUGGGGGCCCCGGUCAAGGGCAAGCGUCGGGGCCGAGGACCCAAAGGGGACAAGGCCUCUGAUCCGGAGGCAGGUGUGGCCCGGGGCAUAGACUUCCACCAUGUGUCUGCUGUGCUCAACUUUGAUCUUCCCCCAACCCCUGAGGCCUACAUCCAUCGAGCCGGCAGGACAGCACGCGCUAACAACCCAGGCAUAGUCUUAACCUUUGUGCUGCCCACGGAGCAGUCCCACUUAGGCAAGAUUGAGGAGCUUCUCAGUGGAGAGAACAGGGGCCCCAUUCUGCUCCCCUACCAGUUCCGGAUGGAGGAGAUCGAGGGCUUCCGCUAUCGCUGCAGGUGUCCACCCCCAGGAUGCCAUGCGCUCAGUGACUAAGCAGGCCAUUCGGGAGGCGAGAUUGAAGGAGAUCAAGGAGGAGCUUCUGCACUCUGAGAAGCUUAAGACAUACUUUGAAGACAACCCCAGGGACCUCCAGCUGCUGCGGCAUGACCUACCUUUGCACCCCGCAGUGGUGAAGCCCCACCUGGGCCAUGUUCCUGACUACCUGGUUCCUCCUGCUCUUCGUGGCCUGGUGCGCCCUCACAAGAAGCGGAAGAAGCUGUCUUCUUGUAGGAAGGCCAGGAGAGCGAAGUCCCAGAACCCACUGCGCAGCUUCAAGCACAAAGGAAAGAAAUUCAGACCCACAGCCAAGCCCUCCUGAGGUUGUUGGGCCUCUCUGGAGCUGAGCACAUUGUGGAGCGCAGGCUUCCACCCUUCAUGGACAGGCGAGGCUCUGGUGCUUACUGCACAGCCUGAACAGACAAUUCUGGGGCUGGCAGUGCUGGGCCCUUUAGCUCCUUGGCACUUCCAAGCUGGCAUCUUGCCCCUUGACAGCAGAAUAAAAAUUUUAGCUGCCCCAGUUUGUGCCUCCGGCAUAUGAAAAGGACUGUUCGAAUCCCCAAAACAUCAGGAGUCAGGAAACUUCUGGAAGACAGCAGCGCCUGGCUCUGCAGCUGCAUGCAGUGCUUCACUUGGCCAGCAGAGGUCAGCUGUGCUGAGCUGCCCCAGCCAUGAGAAGAGAAGCCUGCCCUUGCUGGCAGGUGGCUAUGGCCGGCCCAGAGCCUUCCUGUGCAGCUGCUGCAGCCCUGCUGCCUGGGAUCAGGCUGGGAGAUGGGCCUUCCUGACCGCCAGCCUUCCUCUCCCCCAGCACAUGCACAUGUAGAUUCGGGGGGAAGCUGCCUGCUCUUUCUUAGAGGAUCCAGGGCAGUUAAUCUGCUGGUCCCUUUCUGAACAACUGUUGAUGUGUGA